rnacentral:lncRNA from 1 species
UAAUUUUUUUCCUCUUCAACUCUGCAUAAUUUUUUUCUUUUUCUUUUUUUUUUCUUUUCCUAAAGAAUUCUCUCUUCUUGUAGAUUUGAAAGCAAUUAUGGUGAACUUUUCAACAGUAUCUGUCUCCAGUGCAAUUCCUUUGAACUUCACGAUUGGAUUUUGCUCCUUUUUCUUUGCAGAAAUGGAACUGAAACACAUCAGUUACCUUAUGGUAGCACCAAUCUCUACUGGUGGAGUCUACAGGCUGCAGGCAAACCUUGAAGAAGGUCUCCUAGAGCAGCAUGAAAGUACUGGAGAAUUGGUGGAUACUGAAUUCUUGGCCCACAGCUUGAACACAGAAAUUGCAAGUCUGAGAAAGCUAGUCUAGAUCUGAAAAUGCCUCCCUGCAAUACUGUGUGCUAAGAACAGAGAUUUGGCACAUAAAUUAAUUAGAAAAGAGUUCUUGUGAAGUGCUUUCUGGCUCAAAUAGUUUCUUGCGUAGAGCUGUUAACCAUAUGGUUUGCUUUUUCUUUUUUGACCUUUUUUCCUGUGCUUAUAUACUCUUACCUUUCUUACUGAACAUAAAGAGAAAAGAUACUAAUCACCACUUAUAACAGGUUGUGAUAAAUCAAUAUAUGUUUGACAGGUAGGUUUAGAAAAAUGUGUUUCUUGAACUAUUUUACAUUUUUAAUGCUCUAUACCCAUUAUCUAAGAAUGUUGAAGAUGUUUUGAGCCCAGAACUGGGAGAUCUUUCUGCUGGUGCCCUCAAGGGUACUAUGGCUGUGAAUUUACACAUCAAAUGGUGGUUGAGGUCUAAAUGAAUAAAUUUUGGCCUUGACCACUAACA